CGCGUGAGGGCCCUUCCGGCCAUUUUUUCAGUUUGCUCCUUCAGGACAGUUUGGUCGGCCUUCAAUUCCGACCCUAUCCAUCCUUUUUUCGUUCGAUUCCGACAACUUUCAGUUUUUUCCGGCGACUUUAUUGAAUUUUCCGGCAGCUACAGUACUUUCCGGCCAGAAUUUCUUCAGGACAGUUUGCUCAACCUUGAAUUCCGAGCCUAUCCNNNNN
rnacentral:lncRNA from 1 species